rnacentral:lncRNA from 1 species
AGAGCAUUGGCUUGGAUUGGCCUGACUCAUCCCAUCCUCGAACCAAUCCCGGGGGCUAGGGGAGUGGAGGAAGCCAACUGGUCAUGCGCUGUAGCCCCAGACUCGGGUAGGGAGUCAGUGUCACUGGUUGACAAUAAGGAAGGGAAGAGAAGUGGUCCUCAAAUGAAAAUUAGGAUGUUAUCAUAGAAAGGAAGAGUGGAUGCUGCAGAGGAAAGAUAACAAAUGACUAUUACAAUGGUGUAAAAGGAAACCCAUAGAGAAGAAAGAUGACAGAAUGUCCCCACCUCAAAGGCCAGCUCCAGUUGAUUGCUCGUGGCUCUCUGGAAUGUCACAUUGAGAAAGUGUCUGAGACUAAGCCAAAGAAAAAUACAGUGUCAUAAUGGAUUAGAAAUGUCUGCCACGUGCUACAAAACUGUUGACUGCUAGGCCUUGGUGUCGUGACAAGAGAGGCCAUCCAAUGGUGAAAUUUUUGGAGAAGUGGGUCAUCGUGAAUGUAGG